UUAUGUCUCUCCUUCCCAGAUCUGGAUCGGUGCCCAGGAGAGCAGGCCCAGCAGGGGAAUUGCUUUCUCAGGGCAAUCCCACUGGCUCCUCUCCUGCUGUCCAGGGGCUCUCUCGGCCUCCAGGGGAUGGGAAUGGAGCUGGGGUGGGCUCCCCACUGUCCUCUCUGCAGGCUGAGCUGUUACCCCCUCUCUUGGAGCAUCUGCUAAUGCCCCCGCAGCCUCCACACCCGUCUCUGACCUAUGAACCUGCAUUGCUACAACCUUACUUGUUCCAGCAGUUUGGUUCCCGAGAUGGCUCCCGGGGCUCAGAGAGCGCCUCUGGGGUAGUUGGCCAUCUGGCCAAGGCUGAAGAUCCUGUACUCUUCAGCAGAAGCCUCUCCAAG
rnacentral:lncRNA from 1 species